GUGAAGCGGCAAUAGCUCAAAUUUGAAAGCUGGCCCCUUUGGGGUCCGCGUUGUAAUUUGUAGAGGAUGAUUCGGCGAGGGCUCCCGUCUAAGUCCCCUGGAACGGGGCGUCAUAGAGGGUGAGAAUCCCGUAUGUGAUGGGUUGCCUUAGCCAUGUGAAUCUCCUUCGACGAGUCGAGUUGUUUGGGAAUGCAGCUCUAAAUGGGAGGUAAAUUUCUUCUAAAGCUAAAUACCGGCCAGAGACCGAUAGCGCACAAGUAGAGUGAUCGAAAGAUGAAAAGCACUUUGGAAAGAGAGUUAAAAAGUACGUGAAAUUGUUGAAAGGGAAGCGCUUGCAGCCAGACUUGUCCGCAGUUGCUCAGCCGGUCUCCUGACCGGCGUACUCUUCUGCGGCCAGGCCAGCAUCAGUUCGGGCGGUCGGAUAAAGACCUCGGGAAUGUAGCUCCUCUCGGGGAGUGUUAUAGCCCGGGGUGGAAUGCGGCCAGCCUGGACUGAGGAUCUCGCUUCGGCUAGGAUGCUGGCGUAAUGGCUGUAAGCGGCCCGUCUUGAAACACGGACC
rnacentral:rRNA from 3 species